UGCCCAGCAACUCAUAUCCCUACCUCCUCGUGGUACUGGCCGGGGUACGAGUAACCUUAGGUAAGAUAUGGUAACCAAUCCUAGUGGGAACUUUGGUCGUAUGCUGACAGGGAAGG
rnacentral:ribozyme from 1 species